rnacentral:rRNA from 1 species
UAGAGUUUGAUCCUGGCUCAGGAUUAACGCUGGCGGUGUGCCUUAUACAUGCAAGUCGAACGGUGCCGCAAGGUAACCGUGGCAAACGGGUGAGUAACACGUGGGCAACCUACCCUAAAGUGUGGAAUAACCCUGCGAAAGCGGGGCUAAUACCACAUGUGAUGAAGAGGUGCAAUUCCUUUUCAUUAAAGAUUUAUCGCUUUAGGAGGGGCCUGCGCCUGAUUAGCUAGUUGGUAAGGUAACGGCUUACCAAGGCUAAGAUCAGUAGCUGGACUGAGAGGUCGGACAGCCACACUGGAACUGAGAGACGGUCCAGACUCCUACGGGAGGCAGCAGUAAGGAAUUUUCCACAAUGGACGAAAGUCUGAUGGAGCGACACCGCGUGCAGGAUGAAGGUCUUCGGAUCGUAAACUGCUUUUAUAUGGGACGAUUAUUCGGACUGUACCAUAAGAAUAAGCAUCGGCUAACUCCGUGCCAGCAGCCGCGGUAAUACGGAGGAUGCGAGCGUUAUCCGGAUUUACUGGGUUUAAAGGGUGAGUAGGUUGUAAUUUAAGUCUAUUAUUAAAUACCAAGGCUCAACUUUGGGAAUGUUGUAGAUACUAUUUUACUAGAGGGUAGACGGGGGAAAUGGAAUUCCCGGUGUAGGGGUAAAAUCCGUUGAUAUCGGGAGGAACACCAGUGGCGAAAGCGAUUUCCCAGACUACUCCUGACACUAAACCACUAAAGCUAGGGGAGCGAUACGGAUUAGAUACCCGUGUAGUCCUAGCCUUAAACGAUGGAUGCUAGACGUUAGAGGUAUCGACCCCUCUAGUGUCGCAGCAAAAGCAUUAAGCAUCCCACCUGGGGAGUACGACCGCAAGGUUAAAACUCAAAGGAAUUGACGGGGACCCGCACAAGCAGCGGAGCGUGUGGCUUAAUACGAUGCUACGCGUAGAACCUUACCAAGAUUUGACAUCCGGCUAAACUCCGUGAAAACGGAGGUGUUCUUUACGAACGAGCCGAGACAGGUGUUGCAUGGCUGUCGUCAGCUCGUGCCGUGAGGUGUAGAGUUAAGUCUCAUAACGAGCGCAACCCUUAUUGCAUGUUGUAUUUUCAUGCGAGACUGCCAGGGAUAACCUGGAGGAGGGCGAGGAUGACGUCAAGUCAGUACGGCCCUUAUAUCUUGGGCGGCACACACGCUACAAUGGUCGGUACAAUGAGUUUAUGGCCAAACCGCGAGGUGGAGCUAAUCUCAUCAAAGCCGAUCUCAGUUCGGAUUGGAGUCUGCAACUCGACUCCAUGAAGCCGGAGUUGCUAGUAACCGCAGGUCAGCCACACUGCGGUGAAUAUGUUCCCGGGUCUUGUACACACCGCCCGUCACACCACGAAAGUUGGUUACACCCGAAGUCGUCGCGCUAACCGCAAGGAGGCAGGCGCCGAAGGUGGGGCCAAUGAUUGGGGUGAAGUCG